GGUGAGUUGGUGACAUUGUAGGACAGAUUGAGAGUUGAUUUUUGGGGGGAUAUUAUUCAAUUCAAAUUAGGAGAUUGAGGAGGUAGAUUAUACAUUGUUUUCUUGGUUUUAGAACUUUAUUUUUGUAACUUUAGUAGCAAGUAGUUAGCUAGCUAGCUACCAGAGUGCAGUUUUCUCUGCCAGAAUGGCUAACGCUAAUGACAAUGAAGUGGAUUUCUUAUUGAAGAACGCCUUUCGUGCCCAGAUUAGUUUCAAGCUUCUGAAAAAAACCUGCAUCGAUCAUGUAAUGGAUGAAGGUCUGCAUAUUCAAACUGCGCAACACAACAAGAAGUUCCUCCUGUUCCCUGAUUAAGAGGGCAUGACCACUCCACUACCAGUGUCAACUCUUUGAUAUGAACAGAAGCCAUGUCUCAUAUGCCCUCUCAUCCACUGGCACAUUGAAUGUUUCCUUUCCAAGCCCUGUGAGUAGCCCUGUCAUUUUUCUCUCAUUACUGUAUGUAGAGUCAAUCACAUAGACAAACACAUUCACAUUAUUACACAUCAAUGCGAGACACUUCGGAGGAUCGUGUUUGUCUCCUGGUGCACCUGUCUGUCUGUCUGUAUGUUUGUCUAUUAAACAUUUUAAAACGUAGAAUUUGUUCACCUAAUCCUUGUAUCCAGCAUUUCCACACCGUCAUGAUUCCUGACAUACACAUCAAUGAUUUUACUCCUUGCUUGGACGAACUCAUUCUUAGCUCUUUUGUCUAACUGUGUUGUGUUAUUGUUGUUUGUCUUCUCAGUCAAAUCCUGUCCUGCCCUCAGUGGAAGAGUUGAGCUCUUCUCCAACACCACCCAUUCAUGAUGAACCUGUCCUGCACUGAAGCCUCUGAACACCUCAACCACUGUCCUACACUGAAGUCAUGGCUCUGAACACCUCAGCUCAUGCCUCAUACCCUCAUUCAAUCACCCCUGUGAUUCCUUCCCAACACUGUAAGGAGCCUUCUAAUUCCCUUUCCCCAUUAUAUUUUACUACAAAUGUCUUUAUUAAAUGUUUUAGGUUAAAA